rnacentral:lncRNA from 1 species
AAAAAAAAAGAUAAGAGGCUGUUUAGCUUUUUCUCAAAGUCUUUCCUUCCCUUUGGUGGUGUUGUCAGGCUAAGCAGGGUCAUUCCAUUUUUGUUUUUCUCUGAUCUGCUUCCAGCCCAGUGGCAGGCGCACAGUGGCUUAAAAAUAUUGUGAGCUGCUAGACUGGAUCACAUCAGCCUCUGGCCGCCAGACUGCAUGGCCUCUGCUUGGUGCUCAGCCUUGGGCUUCAUUCACUGGCAGCUCUGGGGCACCUACUCCUCACCCCAAGAACGGGGGUAGAAUUUGGAGGGACAAAGCCUGAGAUCUGGGGCUCUGGGAUGGGGGUCUCCUUAGGCUGAGGUGGGGUGAUGGCCUCAGGGACCAGAACAGACAGUGUCUCCAAGGUCAUCUUGGCCAACACUCCCCUUUGUACAGAUGGGACCACUGAGUCCUGGAAAGGGGAGGCUUUGUGGUUUUCUGAGCUGCACUGCCUUCCCUUCCCCCACUUUCCCCACUCUAUUCAAAGCUGUUAUUUCCCAGAAAAGCUUCAAAGGAUUCUGGGGCUGGGAGUUUGAAGUCCUGGCUCCAAUCCCCUUGGAGAAGUGGGCCCCCUUGUCACUUGUCACUUGCUUCUGGGCCUCAGUUUCUUGAGGUGAGGUGUGAGGCCCUGGUGGGUUCUGCAAAGAUGUGAGGGAGGGCAGCAGCAAACCUGGGGUGAGGGUGGUGUCCGUGGGAACCAUCCCUACUUCACCUGCUCCAUCUGCUUUCACCUCUUUUCUGUUCUAGGAAUCACAAAGUUUUUCUCCUCCUAAAAUAGAGAGGUUCUGAGAGUAUGAAGUUUCCUUCUGGCUCCCAUGGUCUGAGAUAAACUUCAGCUGCUGUCACACCAAGUUACGCUUUGAAGACUUGUAGCCCCCAGAGGCUGUCUCACCCUGGUUCUUUCACAUGACCCCUGAUCUCCUUCACCUUCUCACCCAGUCCUUGUUGACUUUUUUUUUUUGCUUUUUAGGGCCACACCCAUGGCAUAUGGAGGUUCCCAGGCUAGGGGUCAAAUUGGAGCUGUAGCUGCCAGCCUACACCACAGCCACAGCAAUGCAAGAUCCAAGCCGUGUCUGCAACCUAGACCACAAUUCAUGGCAAUGCUGGAUCCUUAACCCACUGAGCAAGGCCAGGGAUCGGACCUGUGUGCUCGUGGAUGCUAGUCAGAUUCGUUAACCAUUGAGCCACGAUGGAAACUCCAUUGUUGACUAUUUUAUAUAUGGUAGUUUGUGUAUAUUAAAUCCCAACUUCUUAAUUUAUCCUAGCCCCCAUCUCCCUUUUGGUAACCCUAAAUUUGAUUUCAAAAUCUGUGAGUUUGUUUCUUUUCUUUUCUUUUUUUAUGGCUGCACCCACAGCAUAUGGAAGUUCCCAGGCCAGAGGUUGAAUUUGAGCUGCAGCUGCAACAACACCAGGUCUGAGUUCUUUGACUUAUUCUUCCAGAUGUUUUGUAGUUUUGAAAUUGUUUUCAAAAU